UGGGGAAUUUUGUACAAUGGGGGAAACCCUGAUGCAGCGACGCCGCGUGAUUUAGAAGGCCUUCGGGUUGUAAAAAUCUUCUCUUUGGGAAGAAAAUGACAGUACCAUAGGAAUAAGGACCGGCUAAUUACGUGCCAGCAGCCGCGGUAAUACGUAAGGUCCGAGCGUUGUCCGGAAUCAUUGGGCGUAAAGGGUACGUAGGCGGGUAAGCAAGUUAGAAGUGAAAUCCUGUAGCUCAACUACAGUAAGCUUUUAAAACUGCUCAUCUUGAGAUAUGGAAGGGAGAAUGGAAUUCCUAGUGUAGCGGUGAAAUGCGCAGAUAUUAGGAGGAAUACCGGUGGCGAAGGCGACUUUCUGGCCAUAAUCUGCCGCUGAGGUACGAAAGCGUGGGUAGCAAACAGA
rnacentral:rRNA from 1 species